AUUGAACGCUGGCGGCAUGCCUUACACAUGCAAGUCGAACGGCAGCAUGGGUGCUUGCACCUGAUGGCGAGUGGCGAACGGGUGAGUAAUACAUCGGAACGUACCCGGAAGUGGGGGAUAACGUAGCGAAAGUUACGCCAAUACCGCAUAUUCUGUGAGCAGGAAAGAGGGGGAUCGCAAGACCUCUCGCUUUCGGAGCGGCCGAUGUCGGAUUAGCUAGUUGGCGGGGUAAAGGCCCACCAAGGCAACGAUCCGUAGCGGGUCUGAGAGGAUGAUCCGCCACACUGGGACUGAGACACGGCCCAGACUCCUACGGGAGGCAGCAGUGGGGAAUUUUGGACAAUGGGGGCAACCCUGAUCCAGCCAUGCCGCGUGAGUGAAGAAGGCCUUCGGGUUGUAAAGCUCUUUCGGCCGGGAAGAAAUCGCACAGGCUAAUACCUUGUGUGGAUGACGGUACCGGAAUAAGAAGCACCGGCUAACUACGUGCCAGCCGCCGCAGUAACAC
rnacentral:rRNA from 1 species